CAGCAGCUUCCAUCUGCUGUUGAGGUACUCCAGCGAAUGGGCGUUCUCCACAGAGAGGUGCACGUUAGAGAUGGCCAGCUGGUGCGUCAGAUUGUUGACAUGAUCCAUACCCUCCUUUACUUGGCCGACAGACUCAAGCAAAAAGCAAACGACAAAAUCAGAUGCACUGCAGGACACAGAAAAAAUCGUUUUCUUCCAUAGAGCAUACCUUAGUGGCGUCGAUAUGGUCCUGCAGCGUGUCGAUGAAGAGAUCCCCCACUGGCUCCCAGGCGCCCCGCACACCCUCCGCCUGCUCCAGCGCUGUGCUCAGCUCCCCCAUGGCCCCCUCCAC